AUUGCAGCACUUGUCUCAUCUUCAGGCUCCACCUCUAAUUCUAGUUCUCUUGCUAUUUCUACCACAUCUGCAAUGACUUCCUCCACUGAAGUCUUGAACCCCUCAAAAUCAUCCAUGAAGGUUGGAAUCAACUUUUUCUAAACUCCUGUUAACAUUGAUAUUUUGUCCUUCUCCCAUGAAUCAUGAGUGUUCUUUAUGGCACCUGGAAUGGUGAAUAUUUUCCAGAAGAUUUUCAAUUUUCUUUGCCCAGAUCCAUCAGAGAAAUCACUAUUUAUG